rnacentral:lncRNA from 1 species
AAAGUAUCGAUUUUCCUCUUUCCCAAGAAAGAUAAAAAUAUAAAAACUUUUAAUAAGUGGGUAGAAUAAAGGACAACGAGGAAGAAGAUGUUGAGGAAAUGCCAUCUCAGACCAAAAAAGAAAAACAACGAAAUCUAUAUACCGACGAAAACGGGAGGUUGAAAGUAACCUACAUAGCAGCUUUGCAAACCAGGGAGGAGAUCUUGAGAACUCUUUGUGGUUCUCUCUUGCCAAAAAAGACUGGGUAGCUGAAAAAAAUCUUGUCAAGUCUACAUUCGAAUACGCUGCGAACAUAAUUGAAAUGGC